rnacentral:rRNA from 1 species
UACGUAGGCAGCGAGCGUUGUUCGGAGUUACUGGGCGUAAAGGGUGUGUAGGCGGUUUUCUAAGUUUGGUGUGAAAUCUCCCGGCUCAACUGGGAGGCUGCCGUGGAAACUGCCGUGCUUGAGUGUGGGAGAGGUGAGUGGAAUUCCCAGUGUAGAGGUGAAAUUCGUAGAUAUUGGGAAGAACACCGAUGGCGAAGGCAGCCAUCUGGACCGACACUGACGCUGAGGCGCGAAAGCGUGGGGAGCAAACAGG